AACUUCCAGUUCUCAGGGGCAAAUGCCUGGAGUCUUCACUCUUCCCACAUCAGGUGGUCUGGCUACUUCAGGAGAAUGCUGCCCUACAAAUGCCUCAAGGCACAAAAUUUGGAAGACUUGGCUCUUUGGUUUAGAAGCAGCACUGGCUGAGGCAUGGUUCUUUGGAAACAGACAAGGGAUGAAGCAGGGCCUUGGCCCUAUUGGUGAGCCUUCACAUUUCCCCAGGGAAAGAAACAGAUUUGAAGAAUCCCCUACAGCAGAAGCAGAGGUGGAAAGGCGACCCACUUGUUGCGAUGGUGGGGACAGUUGAUUUCGUCUCCGUGAGGAUUCCUGUCGGUGGCUGAGCACUGAAGUUGUCUCAGUGAGUGCACAUUGCUGAUGGUAGUAAGAGCCAUGAGAAUCACGUUCCAUCUCUGCCUGCCACACAGUUGAACCCGGUGAAUUCUUUGAUCACUAAAAGCUCAGAUCGAAUACCACUAUGUCCUGUACUGUUUGUUUUCCCCAGAAAAAAAAUGGACUCUUUUUGGACUUGUCACAUGCCUUCCUGCCUUGAUUUAUUAGUUCCUAAACUGAGCUCUUUGAGAGCAGAAACUGAGACUCCUCUCUGGCAUUACAGGACCUAGUGGCAGGUUAUGAACUAAAUUGUUGAAAUCUGUCUAAGACCAAGGAAGAUGAUAACAUAAAUAACAUUUGUCUGCGGGAGGUAGUUCCCCCAGGACUACCCUUUACCUUAUGCUCUGUUCCCCCCAAAUGCCGGUGACCAUCUGCUCCUAGAUUCUUAUUCUUGGUCAGGGCUUCUUGGACUUCCUAUGGAGACUUCAGAAAUACUAAAGGAUUGCUAGCUUGUACCACUAAAAAUUUGGAGAUCUGGUGGGAGUUGAAAUUUCUUGGAGCUUCAUACUUCCUCUCAAAAAACCAUCUACAUUUUAUGUUUUGUAUGUCCUAUUAAAUGCAAAAAGUUUUCUCCUAAAACUUCGGAAAAACGUACAUGACUUCACAGUUCCAGAGAGGGUAGUUUGAGAAGCAUGGUGCUAAUUACAGCUCAUCGUGAGCACAGCAGAGAGCACUCCAUGAGGAGGAAUCUCUGAAGCCUGGAAAUGAGGAGAUUUGGGGCACAAUCUGCCUAACAAACAGUUGUUACCGACAGGGAUUUGAGACACACUUGAAGCCCAAGUUUCACUCUGUUAACUGCUGAUAGAAAAAAUACCUCACAGCUUGAGAAGACAAAAUGGUAACUGAGAUGUAGUUAGUGUUUUCUGAAGUUCUGUAUACGUUACCCAAUACAAAAAAAGGGUAUGAAGAUUUAGAUUGAUUUGCAUGAACUGUAAGCCAGUUUGUGCUUUUCCAUACACACAACUCAGGUUGGAGCAACCAUUGAUUGCAUCUUAAUUUUGGACACUGACCAGCAUUAAAAUUUAAGAAACAAUUUAAGAAACAAACACCGAAGACAAAACUAUGUAUGUCACUUAAGAGUAAACCAUUCCUCCUUGUAGGUGCUUUCCCAAAGUCACUGAUUUUCUUUCUUGGGAACGGGUCAGAAUCCUGACAAAUGCUCAGUUGAGCCGAAGUCACCAGCUAGCGUGUAGGUGCAAUGGGGCACCUCCUGUGCGUGCCUGUGACUGGCCUAAGGGCUUUUCCCAGAGGAAGAUGUUAAUGGCUUUCUACAACAAGGCUGUGUUUCCUUAACUUGCCCUGGGUUGAUAGAUUUCAAUGAUAUAGAUUGACAUGUGCAUAAGUAGUGUGGGGUGCAUUUUGCCUCGCAGCACUCAGAGUUCAUCUGGGGUGCUCAUUUGUCCGCUGACUGUAUUUUCAGUGGUUGUCCUAUGAAAGCACCAAGCAAAACCGUAAGCUUAGCAGGUAUCCUGCAUGGUCAUUGCUUUGUGAUAUUGCUUUUACUUUGGGGAGGUAUUUCAAACCUCCUUUUAUCCAAACUUGUUCUUUCUUAAAUCUCCCAGGCUCUGAAGUGGCCAUUGUUAACCUACAAACUCUAUUUAAAGUCCCUCUUCUGAUUUCUGGCCCUGGGGGUUAAGCAAAUCAAUACCUGGUUAACGUAACCACAGGCCUACUUCUUACGAGGUGUAUCUUAUGAAAAAAAAAUCCUCUAUAAUCUUUAGAGAAAAACUAAUUUUUUCCCUAUUACAAAAGUAACGUAUUGGAUUGAUCCAGAAAAUAUAUUUAAGUAAAAGGAGAAAGAUUAGAAUAAUCUAUAAUCCCAUUACUCGGUUUUCAUGGCCAUUAUUCUAGACUCUUUCCAUAUGUCUUGUCUUUUCCCGGAAAUGGGAUCAUACAGUGCACGGUGUUUUAUUCUCUUACAGUCUUCUACAACUUCCAUUUUAAUGAUCUACCCUGUGGACGGGCCUCAGUUUAUUUAACCACUGUGCUGUUGCCCACAGGUACCCAAGAACCUGUCACUAGAAGGGCACUGGUUGUUACCUGGAUGCACCCUAACAGCCCCACAGUGUGAUGCUCACUUGUCUCCUGUUGGGGGCGGGGCAUGAGUGCCUUUGUGAUUAAAUGAGGGAUCAGUGCCUUAUGUCAAACAGGGGAAUCUUUGGGAUUAGAUGUUUCUGCUAAUGGAGCAGAGGAUGCCGGCUGGUGCUGAGUGGCCAGACCCUGCUUGGAGCAUCAUCCCGUGUCACUCUGGAGUGAGAACACUGUCACAGUGGAGGCUGUGGAGUGCUAUCCUGACCCCCACCCCCCCUGCCUUCAGUUCCUAGGCACUCAUUCCCUUCGCAGCCCACAAGUCACAGAUAAAUUCCUCUCCAGAGACCUCCUUAGCUAAAGGGACCCACCAUGAUCAAGGUCACGGCCCUUUCCCCCGGGGGAGUUUUCAUCCAAUGAUUGGUUGAUGGGGGGGCUAUAAUUGCCUGCCCCCUUACCCCCAGUUUGGGACAACCCUUCAGGGCUCUUCUGGUUCCAGAGCUCUGCGUGACCCAUGCUGAGGCCUGUGUUGGGACCACACAACAGCUCUGCUCCCCCUACUCAACUCUGCUUUCCUCUCUUCACCCCCACUGGUGAAUCUCCCACAAGGACCUUCCAAUAACCUUCCUUCGUGUGCAUCGCUAGCUCAGGGUCUACUUCCCUGGGAACCCAAUCUGCGGCAGGCACUUAAAAGUUCACAUUUUUGGCUUGACAGAGUUUAUGUGCAUAGUAUGUCUUACAGAGAUAAUACAAGUUAAAUAACAUGAGUUCUAAUUGUAAUUGUUACAGGUUUCUCCACAAUACUUAUGUCGCUAGAUAGCUAACAUUUCCUUUCUAAGUUGAAUCAAAUCUGUCUUGGAGCUCUCCCUUGAGG
ensembl:lncRNA